CGACCCCAGGUCAGGCGGGAUU
rnacentral:rRNA from 63 species